rnacentral:lncRNA from 1 species
GGUAUAUAUAGGCUUGAGGCUGCCAUGGCCACCAAACUGGGAUAAUGACACUUAUAUCUAGGGACAAUAAUAAUGACCUGGUACGAUGUCAUCAAGGUCCCUGUGGACCUGGCUGCACCAAAAGGUUUCUGUACUAAGGUUGCUAACAGUUAUCCUCUUACUGAGGUAACAGAGAGUCUUACAUGGGUUGCCUAUCUCUUGUUUUUCCUAUUAACAGCCACCUUCUUAGGAUUACCCUCUCACUAGUCAUAUAAUCUAAUACCUCCAUAUUCUCACAUUCUACCUUAAAAGCAUCUCAGGCAACCCCCCACCAUCAGAAGCUGUGAACCUUUAUGCAAACCUAUUGACUAUAUGAUAGAAGAUAUCCGAACUCAUCAUUUCUGAUUAUACUGACAAAACUAAAUGUAAAAAUAGAAACUAACUGAUACAUGGCUGCACAUUGGGUACAUUGAGUGCUGUAAUAUUGAUGUCUCCCUUAAAAGUGGGUUAUUGGUAACCU